GAUGAACGCUAGCUACAGGCUUAACACAUGCAAGUCGAGGGGCAGCAGGGAUUUAGCUUGCUAAAUCCGCUGGCGACCGGCGCACGGGUGCGUAACGCGUAUCCAACUUUCCCGUUACUCAGGGAUAGCCUUCCGAAAGGGAGAUUAAUACCUGAUGGUGUUUGAAGUUCGCAUGUUCUUCAAACUAAAGAUUUAUCGGUAACGGAUAGGGAUGCGUGACAUUAGAUAGUAGGCGGGGUAACGGCCCACCUAGUCUACGAUGUCUAGGGGUUCUGAGAGGAAGGUCCCCCACACUGGAACUGAGACACGGUCCAGACUCCUACGGGAGGCAGCAGUGAGGAAUAUUGGUCAAUGGUCGGAAGACUGAACCAGCCAAGUAGCGUGAAGGAUGAAGGUUCUAUGGAUUGUAAACUUCUUUUAUACGGGAAUAAAGCCCACUACGUGUAGUGGUUUGUAUGUACCGUAUGAAUAAGCAUCGGCUAACUCCGUG
rnacentral:rRNA from 1 species